UGAUUCAAAAUAUGAAGUGUGUCCUUA
rnacentral:sRNA from 1 species